CAUUAGUUUAUGCUCCUGCAAUCCCAGGCGUCUCUUUGACACAUUUAACUCUCUUCUUUGCCCUGCUGUAGCCACCCCCCAAACUAACCUUACAGCCGAUAGCUUUGCAUGCUAUUUUACCGACACGAUUGAACAGCUAUGGAAAGAAUUCUCCCCACCUUUCCAUUCACUUUCUCAACCACACAUAGUUAAUGCCUUUCCUACCCUUCAGACUUUCUCCCCGGCUACUAAACAAGAGGUGGCUGCACUUCUCUUUUCCUCUCGCCCCACCACUUGCCUGCUAGAUCCUGUC